rnacentral:rRNA from 1 species
GUUAAACGCUGGCGGCAUGCCUUACACAUGCAAGUCGAACGGCAGCACGGGGGCAACCCUGGUGGCGAGUGGCGGACGGGUGAGUAAAGCAUCGGAACGUAUCCUGGAGUGGGGGAUAACGUAGCGAAAGUUACGCUAAUACCGCAUAUUCUGUGAGCAGGAAAGCAGGGGAUCGCAAGACCUUGCGCUCUGGGAGCGGCCGAUGUCGGAUUAGCUAGUUGGUGGGGUAAAGGCCUACCAAGGCGACGAUCCGUAGCGGGUCUGAGAGGAUGAUCCGCCACACUGGGACUGAGACACGGCCCAGACUCCUACGGGAGGCAGCAGUGGGGGAAUUUUUGGACAAUGGGCGCAAGCCUGAUCCAGCCAUGCCGCGUGAGUGAAGAAGGCCUCGGUUGUAAG